CUUCCCGGACCGGGGCACGAACCCGUGUCCCCUGCAUCGGCAGGCGGACUCUCAACCACUGCGCCACCAGGGAAGCCCCUCCAAACUCUUAAGCAGUCUUUUCUGAAAGGCUAUUUUUCCCCAUAUGUACCACCUUAUGCCACUUGGAGGUAUUUAAUUUUUGUGGUCACAAUUACUGAAUUGUCUCAUUUUGUGGAAUAAUUCUCCCAAAUAUUCAUCCCCCAAAAUGUUUAUUGAGUGCUUCCCACAUCUUAGGCAUGAAUCCUGGGUGUAAGCAGUGAGUGAGCAGUGAGCCCUGCUCACUUGUUGAAGGUGCAAAGUGCUGUGGAAAAGGAACACAUAGAUGAGGUAAGGCAGCUGAGGCGUGCUGCAGAGGUCACACGUUACCUUCUUUAUAAUUUUACUUUUUCUCUUUAUGUACUUAUUACAGGAAAUGGGGGAAGUGAUUCCCAUAAGUCUUACGAUUCCUAUAAGACUUGAUCAGACAGAAACAUCCGUGACAGAGGUUCUUGUUUCCAGGUUCUUACUUCAUUAAAUAAUCCUGACCCCCUUCUCACGAUUAAGGUCCUAGAUGUGGAUCAGAUUAAAUUCAAAGCCUUGUAGGUGACAAGUGAAAAUCCAAGCAGAAUUUGCUGGGCAAAAAAGUGAUGUUUAUUCAUUUAUUUUAAUGAUAAAAGUUAAUUUUAUCAAGCUUUAACAAAAUUCCUUUAUAGUGAAUAGUCAUGUCAGGUUGUCUGGGAAUAGGUUUCAUUCUGCUUCUGUCCUCCAGAGUGGGAACUGCUGAGCUGGGAAAACAACACUUUGUGGAGUUUGUCUGUAAGUGGUAGGUUCCUUUGAACUCCAUUGACCAUUAUUUCUGUCUUUUAGUUUAGCUACUUAGAGAAGCUUCUGUUGGUUCAUGGAACUUGGCAUUAUUUUCGAGUGACCAAAUGCAUAUUGUAUCGUUUGUACAAGAAUGUUGUGUUAUACAUCAUUGAGGUGGGUAUGCAUUUUCUCAAGUAGAACAUGCUGUGAUUUCUCAGGAAGAACUAGUCCGUUCUUAUGACGCUACCAAAAGCAAACCCCGGAGGACUUUUACUCCUGCCUUUUCCACGUCCAUCACCGAGUAAGAUCUGGGUCCCCGGGUCCCGCACUUAUAGGUCCUUCCCUGAGGUGGCUACAAUGAGCCAGUACUCCUCAACGCCCCUUUCUGUGACUGGCCAGUUUGUUAUUUAUGUAUCGACUGAGUCACGAUCCUUGGGUAUAAAUAAUGGAGGAAACCUAUUGGCUUUUUCUUAAUUUACUUUCAGUGUUUUACCUAAUUUAUUUAUUUUUCUGUGGCUGUGAGAUAAUUUGUCAGUUCAAUGUAAAGUAUAAAAUUAAAAGCACUAUGUUUUACCAAAA